rnacentral:lncRNA from 1 species
AUGGCAGCUGGAGUCUUCUCUAGAAGAUUCAGCCUUGUAGUGGUUUUAGUAAUGCAACGGCCCUUAUAUAGCAACCAGACCCUGCCCUUCAGUGUUGUUCCCUUCUCACUGAGGACUCUUGGGAAGGCCUUCAUCGUGUUAAUGCUGGCCUCACCGACUUCAGACCCGGGAGGGACCCCAGCCAAGAACUUAGAAGUGUAGAAGAAAAAGCUAUUUUUCCCCCUCCCAUCAACAAAGUGAUCUGCAUGUCACUCCCCUGCCAGGAAAGAAAAAAGAAAAAAGAGAAGAGAAGAAAAAAGAAAAGCCUAACAAACACGAAAAAAAAAAAAAAAGCCAGAGCAACUGGAAUCUCAGUUUUGAGGAAACACAUGGGAUUGAAGCAUCCGCCGUAACUCUGUAACCAACUGUCACAUGUGACUCCCCCC